AUGAUUCAAUGAUUCAAUCCAUGAUUCAAUGAUUCAAUCUAUCAUUGAAUCAUAAGAUUGAAUCAUUGUAUCAUGGAUUGAAUCAUU